GACGAACGCUGGCGGCGCGCCUAACACAUGCAAGUCGAACGAGCGAGAGAGAGCUUGCUUUCUCAAGCGAGUGGCGAACGGGUGAGUAACGCGUGAGGAACCUGCCUCAAAGAGGGGGACAACAGUUGGAAACGACUGCUAAUACCGCAUAAGCCCACGGUGCCGCAUGGCACAGAGGGAAAAGGAGCAAUCCGCUUUGAGAUGGCCUCGCGUCCGAUUAGCUAGUUGGUGAGGUAACGGCCCACCAAGGCGACGAUCAGUAGCCGGACUGAGAGGUUGAACGGCCACAUUGGGACUGAGACACGGCCCAGACUCCUACGGGAGGCAGCAGUGGGGAAUAUUGCACAAUGGGGGAAACCCUGAUGCAGCGACGCCGCGUGGAGGAAGAAGGUCUUCGGAUUGUAAACUCCUGUUGUUGGGGAAGAUAAU
rnacentral:rRNA from 1 species